rnacentral:rRNA from 1 species
AGUGAACGCUGGCGGUAGGCCUAACACAUGCAAGUCGAACGGCAGCACAGUAAGAGCUUGCUCUUACGGGUGGCGAGUGGCGGACGGGUGAGGAAUACAUCGGAAUCUACUUUUUCGUGGGGGAUAACGUAGGGAAACUUACGCUAAUACCGCAUACGACCUACGGGUGAAAGCAGGGGAUCUUCGGACCUUGCGCGAUUGAAUGAGCCGAUGUCGGAUUAGCUAGUUGGCGGGGUAAAGGCCCACCAAGGCGACGAUCCGUAGCUGGUCUGAGAGGAUGAUCAGCCACACUGGAACUGAGACACGGUCCAGACUCCUACGGGAGGCAGCAGUGGGGAAUAUUGGACAAUGGGCGCAAGCCUGAUCCAGCCAUACCGCGUGGGUGAAGAAGGCCUUCGGGUUGUAAAGCCCUUUUGUUGGGAAAGAAAAGCAGCAGGUUAAUACCCCGCCGUUCUGACGGUACCCGAAGAAUAAGCACCGGCUAACUUCGUG